GACGAACGCUGGCGGCGUGCCUAACACAUGCAAGUCGAACGGAAAGGCCCUGCUUGCAGGGUGCUCGAGUUGCGAACGGGUGGGUAACACGCGGGUGAUCUGCCUCUCUCUUUGAGAUAGGUCUUUUAAACUGGGUCUAAUACUGGAUAGGACAUUUCUUGACGUGGUGUGGUCGAAAGUUUAGUUUCGGUAUGGGAUGAGCUCGCGGCCUAUCAGCUGGUUGUUGGGGUAUUGGCCUAACAAGGCGUCGCAGGGUAGCCGGCCUGAGAGGGUGGACGGCAACAUUGGGACUGAGAGACGGAGCAGACGCCUAGGGGCGGCAGCAAUGGGGAAUAGGGGAAAAUGGGAGCAAGGCGGAAGCAGUGACGCCGCGUGGGUGAUGAAGGGCUGCGGGUAGUAAAGUACUUACGGCCAUGUAGCAGGGCUGGUGGUGACGGUAGUGGUAGAAGAAGCACCGGCUAACUACGUG
rnacentral:rRNA from 1 species